ACGUUGUGAAUCAGCCACUACAUCGCAGUCACGUGAUUAUAUGUAAGGUUUGCUCAAAUAAAAAAAGAAAAAAUUCCCUAUAAUCAGUACAUUAACCUGAAGGAUUUCUUUUUUUUGACAAAAACCCCCACAUAUAUAUACAAUUUAUAUUUCAUGUGAUGUGACGUAGUGGAACAUUCCUGACG
rnacentral:pre_miRNA from 1 species